ACGGGAAGUAAAAGUCGUAACAAGGUUUUCGUAGGUGAACCUGCGGAAGGAUCAUUACCGAGUUGUGUCUCCCCCGGGAGCCAUCUCCACCCUGUGCGAACUAAAUCUGUUGCUUUGGCGGGCCGCAGCCCCGCUGCCACCGGUGUAUCUGGUGAGCGCCCGCCGGAGGUCUUUUAAAAUCUAUUUUAUAUGACGUCUGAGUAAGAAAAUAAAUGCGAAAAACUUUCAACAACGGAUCUCUUGGUUCUGGCAUCGAUGAAGAACGCAGCGAAAUGCGAUAAGUAAUGUGAAUUGCAGAAUUCCGUGAAUCAUCGAAUCUUUGAACGCACAUUGCGCCCUUUGGUAUUCCGAAGGGCAUGCCUGUUCGAGCGUCAUUUACACUCUCAAGCUCUGCUUGGUAUUGGAGGCCGCCCCGGUGGGGUGCCCCCGAAACACAGCGGCGACGUAGCCGGACUCCCUGGCGUAGUGACUUUUUUCGCCGCCCCGGAGUCGUCGGUCUUGCGUUAGCCGGACAACGCCCCAUUUUCUUGAAAUCGACCUCGGAUCAGGUAGGAAUACCCGCUGAACUUAAGCAUAUCAAUAAGCGGAGGA
rnacentral:rRNA from 1 species